UCUUCGCCCGAAAUCAACCGACGGCACGACAAAGUCAGAUAUUAGUUGUAGAAAAAGAGAGGAUGAAUAAUAGUACGCGUCUAUGACUAAAAUUUUCGAACAUUACGAAAUAAAGAAACGUAAGAUGACCAGAGUGUGAUGUGUGAAUGGGAAGAAGUUAUUAACUCAGAAGCAACCAACGGAAGGACAUCAGAGAGCUGAGAAAGAUGCCGUUCUCUCUGUCUCAUCGCCGGUGAACAAGAUAGAAGAAGAAGAAGAGUGGAUUUGACAAACAUAUUCAAAGGUCUAAUCAUCUCAGUUGUGGAUAAAAGAAGUAGAGAAAUGGAUGGAAGACGGAACUAACCCGGCGGAGGCGGAGUACAAUGAAAAGCAUGAGGCCGAUCAGGACAAUAACACUUGAAAAAAUGAGUCGAGUCAUCAAAUCCACAGUACCCACCACUCUUGUUACAAAAUCUACACUCUCCGGCCGUCCAUUCCACUACCAACCCAUUUCUCUCCGCCUCAUCCCGGCUUUCCUCUCCGCCGCAAAUGCCGUCCUGUCCGUCCCCGAGGUGGAACCGUUCGUUUGUCAAAACAGAGAGGCUUCGAAUCAGAGCACUACACUCAGCCGCUGAUGAAACAGCGUGGUCGGAGAGGCGGAGGGAGUGUUCUUCGUAUGAAAUACUGCGGACGGAAAAAUCCCUACCGGCGAGAUGAAGGAUCGGGUGGCCGUUUUGAUGACAUUUCAGCUGAAAUCCCGGGUACCCACAAAACGACCGUUGGCGAUUGUGGAUGUAAAAUGGGUAUUGAAUUGUUUGAUUGUCGCCACAGGUCAUCGGCUGGCGGCAGGCCUCGAAGUGGAAGUCGACAGCCACGGAGGGGGUUAGGAGGACGAGAAUGAAAAUGAAGAUGGGGAGAUUUGACAACACCAUCUGGGUUUAGAAGAUAAGAGAAGAAACAAGUUUGAGGGAAAACAGAGAGAGUAUUUAUGGAUUAAAGUGGGGAUUUGAUUGAAGUUUGGGGGAUUUCUGUGUGUUUUGGGGUGUGAAUCGUGGACGGAGUUGAAGAACUUUUGGGUAACGUUGUGUCUAAGUGAAUUGAAUAUCAGAGUAUGAGUGCCUCAAAUCAUAGACCGUUGAAUUAUUAUAUAGUUUCAUCAAAUCCACAUCCUACACAUUUUCAUUCUUUCGUGUAUAUUGUUUGACUCUUUGACUUUCAUGUGCUCAUUUAACAAGUGCUUUUAUUCAAGAAGUCUUUGCGUUUCU